GAUGCAGUGGUUAAGCACUUGGCUGGUAACCAGAAGGUUGGUGGUUUGAGCCCACCCUGCAGCU
rnacentral:tRNA from 1 species